AAUCAACAACUGAAAAGAUAUCAAUGAGAUUGUACAUGUAAAUUUAUAC
rnacentral:guide_RNA from 1 species